GAGACACGGCCCAAACUCCUACGGGAGGCAGCAGUAGGGAAUCUUCCACAAUGGACGAAAGUCUGAUGGAGCAACGCCGCGUGAGUGAAGAAGGGUUUCGGCUCGUAAAGCUCUGUUGGUAGUGAAGAAAGAUAGAGGUAGUAACUGGCCUUUAUUUGACGGUAAUUACUUAGAAAGUCACGGCUAACUACGUGCCAGCAGCCGCGGUAAUACGUAGGUGGCAAGCGUUGUCCGGAUUUAUUGGGCGUAAAGCGAGUGCAGGCGGUUCAAUAAGUCUGAUGUGAAAGCCUUCGGCUCAACCGGAGAAUUGCAUCAGAAACUGUUGAACUUGAGUGCAGAAGAGGAGAGUGGAACUCCAUGUGUAGCGGUGGAAUGCGUAGAUAUAUGGAAGAACACCAGUGGCGAAGGCGGCUCUCUGGUCUGCAACUGACGCUGAGGCUCGAAAGCAUGGGUAGCGAACAGGAUUAGAUACCCUGGUAGUCCAUGCCGUAAACGAUGA
rnacentral:rRNA from 1 species